rnacentral:lncRNA from 1 species
GUUGGGUUGUUGUUGCUAAGACUUUACUUGUCUAUAUUGUGUUCACAUACUGGUUUUAUUUUUUAUUUUGUUACAUUUUUUUGCCAUGGCGUUUUAAGUGUAUUUUCGACUUCUGAGUGUUAAUCUCGCUUUGGUAUCUUGCGUCGUACUACAAUACUUACAAAUCUUGCUAUUUCCGACCUCUCAUUUGUUAUCUUAACAUUUUGUCGAGUUUACAUCAUCCUCAACCUUUUUAAUAGUUUG